rnacentral:rRNA from 1 species
AUUGAACGCUGGCGGCAGGCCUAACACAUGCAAGUCGAACGAGUGGCGGACGGGUGAGUAAUGUCUGGGAAACUGCCUGAUGGAGGGGGCUAACUACUGGAAACGGUAGCUAAUACCGCAUACCAUCAGAUGUGCUCAGAGGGGAUUAGCUUGUGGGUGGGGUAACGGCUCACCAAGGCGACGAUCCCUAGCUGGCCUGAGAGGAUGAUCAGUCACACUGGAACUGAGACACGGUCCAGACUCCUACGGGAGGCAGCAGUGGGGAAUAUUGGGCAAUGGGCGAAAGCCUGAUCCAGCCAUGCCGCGUGUGUGAAGAAGGUCUUCGGAUUGUAAAGCACUUUAAUUUGGGAGGCGUUACCAACAGAGUAAGCACCGGCUAACUUCGUGCCAGCAGCCGCGGUAAUUC